rnacentral:rRNA from 1 species
UACGGGGGGAGCAAGCGUUGUUCGGAUUUACUGGGCGUAAAGGGCGCGUAGGCGGUCAGUGCAAGUCAGUUGUGAAAUCUCCGAGCUUAACUCGGAAAGGUCAACUGAUACUGCUCGACUAGAGUGCGGAAGGGGCAACUGGAAUUCUUGGUGUAGCGGUGAAAUGCGUAGAUAUCAAGAGGAACACCUGAGGUGAAGACGGGUUGCUGGGCUGACACUGACGCUGAGGCGCGAAAGCCAGGGGAGCAAACGGG